rnacentral:lncRNA from 1 species
CCCGCUACAGAACCACUGCGCCCAUGAGAAUUGGACUCGGCAGGUAGCAAAGUGCUCCUCUUUUGAAAUUAACAGCUGGAGGAAUAACACCUGCAUCUUCUUUGUGCCUGCAGUUAUGGCGUCCCCAGCCAUGUGAAUGGCACUGCCAAAUAUGAGACUCUUUCCCAGUGCAGAUGACUUCGUCUAGCCAGAUAGCUCCUGCUCCUUCCCCGAAGUAAGCAGAGCCAGUGGCGUUAAUUGCCACGCCACAGUCCAGCUGCUUGCACACCACAUUGGCAUCAGUCAUAUCCCAAUUGUCAUCACAGACGGUGCCCCAAGAGCCCUCGUGGUAGACCUCCACUCUUCCAGCGCAGCGACCACCUCCACCUACCAAGCGAAGCUGGCCACUUGCUGGGAAGAGAAAUGAAGAUAAGAAAUUAUGCCAGAUAAUGUAUUCUGGCAAGGUUUGAGGUCAAUUUCAGAGGUCAAUCACAGAUUCUCACCUAUGCAGGGAACUUCACUCUCCUUUGGAAUUGUAGAGCUUGUUGUUUGGACUGGAGACAAUGAACUACAUGGCAAUAGUGUCUGGGAUUGGUUUCCUAAAAACAGCCAAAGUUUCAGGGAUAUUAGAUACAAAGGGUGAAGAAUGAGGACUGGACGGAGAGUUCUGUAGGCUCAUCGGAUUCUAAAGCACUGUGGAGAGGCUCAUCACUGGCUCUGCCCUUCAUCCUCUCACCUGAGCAGAUGACAGAGGCCACCUGUCCUUCGGAACACGUCGGCGCACCCAGAGCAGUCAUGAGGCAAUCUCCUAUAUGUUCCUCAGUUCCAGUGCAGUGGAACAUGUGACUCCAGACCUGACCAGCUCCUUUCCCAAAAUGUGCUCCUUCUGGAAUAGAUUGGGCAACCC